rnacentral:tRNA from 1 species
UUAAUAAAAUCCAAAUUAGAGGAAUGUUACUGUUAACAACAUCAUUAAGAUAUAAUCUUUUAUUAAA